GUACACGCUGUGACUAGCAUAUCAAUAAGCGGAGGAAAAGUAACUAAUAAGGAUUCCCCUAGUAACGGCGAGUGAAGCGGGAAGAGCUCAAAUUUGAAAUCUUAAAGGGUUUCCCUUUACGAAUUGUAGUUUAAAGAAGUGUUUUCUGUUGAGGUUUUGGUAAAAGUUCUUUGGAAUAGGACAUCAUAGAGGGUGAGAAUCCCGUAUUUGACCUUUACUUUCAACUUUGUGAUACACUUUCAAAGAGUCGGAUUGUUUGGGAAUGCAGUCCAAAAUGGGUGGUAAAUUUCAUCUAAAGCUAAAUAUUGGCGAGAGACCGAUAGCGAACAAGUACCGUGAGGGAAAGAUGAAAAGAACUUUGAAAAGAGAGUUAAACAGUACGUGAAAUUGUCAAAAGGGAAGCGUUUGACACCAGUGUUGUUUUUCUGAAAAUCAAUUAAAGAACUGUUUAUGCUAAGUUGUUUAGACUUUAUCAGCUAACUGUUUAGUUUUGAGCUUUUCUUUAAUGCACUUUUCAGUUAACAAGUCAACAUCAAUUUCUUUUGCUGUAAAAAAGCUUGAGGAAGGUGGCUUGAGAUUCGUCUUAAGUGUUUAUAGCCUCUUGCCUAUGCAGUCGGAGAGAUUGAGGUCUGCAGCGUAGAUCCUUCGGGGCUAAAUGCAUUUGUGCUAAGUUAUAGCAUUUUAUAGACAACUUGUUGACUAUGAUUUGUCUUGUAGCUUACUCGCUUAUGUUAUUUUACCUACGCUUAGGAUGUUGAGUCGUAGAGCACGCAG
rnacentral:rRNA from 1 species